GAUGAGUUAGCAUCAUACAUCUGUUAACUACCCAGUUAUGCCUCGGCGUAAGCUCGGUUGGAGGCACCUGCAGCUACCCUGUAGUUGCGGACUGCCAACUCCAGCCGCGGCCCGCCGGCGGUACACUAAACUCUGUUUUAUUUUAUAUUCUGAGCGUCUUAUUUUAAUAAGUUAAAACUUUCAACAACGGAUCUCUUGGUUCUGGCAUCGAUGAAGAACGCAGCGAAAUGCGAUAAGUAAUGUGAAUUGCAGAAUUCAGUGAAUCAUCGAAUCUUUGAACGCACAUUGCGCCCAUCAGUAUUCUGGUGGGCAUGCCUGUUCGAGCGUCAUUUCAACCCUUAAGCCUAGCUUAGUGUUGGGAAUCUGCUGUACUGCAGUUCCUUAAAGACAGUGGCGGAGCGGCGGUAGUCCUCUGAGCGUAGUAAUUUAUUUCUCGCUUUUGUCAGGCUCUGUCCUCCCGCCAUAAAACCCCCAAUUUUUUAGUGGUUGACCUCGGAUCAGGUAGGAAUACCCGCUGAACUUAAGCAUAUCAAUAAGCGGAGGAAA
rnacentral:sRNA from 2 species